rnacentral:rRNA from 1 species
AAUGGAGGGAACUCUGAUGCAGCGACGCCGCGUGAGCGAUGAAGGCUUUCGAGUCGUAAAGCUCUGUCGAAUGGGAAGAUAAUGACGGUACCAUUUGAGAAAGCCCCGGCUAACUACGUGCCAGCAGCCGCGGUAAUACGUAGGGGGCGAGCGUUGUCCGGAAUUAUUGGGCGUAAAGGGUUCGUAGGCGGCAAUGUAUGUCAGGUGUGAAAGACGGUGGCUCAACCAACGCAAGCAUCUGAAACUGCAUAGCUUGAGAAAAGGAGAGGUAAGUGGAAUUCCUAGUGUAGCGGUGAAAUGCGUAGAUAUUAGGAGGAAUACCAGUGGCGAAGGCGACUUACUGGACUUUAACUGACGCUGAUGAACGAAAGCGUGGGGAGCAAA